AGCCUCUAGAGGGCGGUCUAUGCAAAGUAUCCCUCCCCUUCAUCCCUUUAUAAUCAGAGACUCAACUCUGGUCUUCUCAUUAUAGGCAGCUUGGACUGACAUUAUAACAUUACAAGUCCUGUACUAACUAAUACUGAACAAUGAGGACUGCCUGGACUUUAGUACUCAUGUUGGUGUCUGUAAAAAGUGUUCAGGGUCAGACACUGACGGAGUCUGAAUCAGUGGUUAAAAAGCAUGGAGAAUCCCACAAACUGACCUGUACAUAUUCUGGGUUUGGUGGCAACUAUUGGAAUGCUUGGAUCAGACAGGCUCCUGGGAAAGGACUGGAGUGGGUUGCAACUAUCAGUGAUGGUGGCAGCACUUACUACCCCCAGUCUGUUCAGGGUCGGGUCACCAUCUCCAGAGACAACAGCAAGCAGCAGGUGUAUCUCCAGAUGAACAGUCUGAAGACUGAAGACUCUGCUGUUUAUUAUUGUGCCAGAGACACAGUGACACAGGAUGCUGCAGCGGUGUACAAAAACUGACUAAGCAAGCACUUC